UCGCCUACAUGAAGCUGGAAUUGCUAGUAAUCACAGGUCAGCAUACUGUGGUGAACUACGUUCCCGGGCCUUGUACACACCGCCCGUCACACCAUGAGAGUUGAGAAUACCCGAAGCCCAUGUCAAAGUGGUCGAAGGUAGGCUUGAUGAUUGGGGUGAAGUCGUAACAAGGUAAC
rnacentral:rRNA from 1 species